UAUUUCAAUGACAGCCAGAGCAGCGGAACUGCGCCUGUCCUACUGGAUGAUGUGAUAUGCGAUGGUACCGAAUCUAGCAUCUUCUCCUGCACGCAUAACAGCAUCGGUGUCCACGACUGUAAUAGCAAUGAAGCUAUCUGGUUGAAAUGUACUGGAAACCAAGCGCCACUAUCAAGCUGUCCAGAUCUGGAUGAGUGUUUGACGCACAAUCACAACUGCUCCGCGCAAUCGACCUGUACGAACACUGAUCCUGGAUUCGUGUGCACUUGCGAGGCCGGCAACGGCUCUGUGUGUGCCGAUCCAGAUGAAUGCCAGUUGGGUCUAGUCCAAUGCAACCAAAGCGCUCAAUGUGUAAACUACGACUUUGGUGCGUAUUGCCUUUGUUCCAACCAGCCAGCCGAUAUACGACUAGUCCCGGUCCCUGUCUCACCAGGGAAUUCUGGACGAGUAGAGGUGUUCACAAGAGGAGCGUGGGGAACAGUGAGCUACGCCGGAUGGACGGCUGCAGAAGGGGAUGU